rfam:Lupinus angustifolius cultivar Tanjil contig_29399, whole genome shotgun sequence.
AGGUGCGAUCAAAGCAACACUAUGCACCAGAUCCCAUCAGAACUUCGCAAUUAAACAUGCUUGAGCAAGAGGAGUACUAGAUGGAUAACCUCGUGGGAAGUCCUCAUGUUACACGUC